rnacentral:rRNA from 1 species
UACGGGGGGGGGCAAGCGUUGUUCGGAAUUACUGGGCGUAAAGGGCUCGUAGGCGGCCAACUAAGUCAGACGUGAAAUCCCCAGCUCAACCUGGGAACUGCGUCUGAUACUGGAUGGCUUGAAUCCGGGAGAGGGAUGCAGAAUUCCAGGUGUAGCGGUGAAAUGCGUAGAUAUCUGGAGGAAUACCGGUGGCGAAGGCGGCAUCCUGGACCGGAUAGUACGCUGAGUAG